AACCUUGUUUUGGAAAACAAAAACAAACAAAAAGCAAAACAGCAGCAGCAACAACAAAACAAGCCUAAACACAGAUAAGCUUUGAAUUUUCUGUGAAAACUUAGCAAUCAAAUUCACACACGCAGAAACAAUAGACAAUGUCACAAUGUUGAAUGCGGGUGGAUGCUACAUUACAGUUCAGUCACCAAGAGUCAAGAGACCUCUAGGGAAGAUCCUGACACUUCCACUGUUCUCCAAGGGCUACAGAGGAGCAAGGCUGUGCUUCCUGUGCUGUGGUCUGGCUGGCUAGACACCUGGAAGUCAGUGAUUCCACUCUUUCUCCCAAAGACUUCAUAAGAAAAAAGCCCUAGAGGACGCUGCAUAGCAAGACUGUUAAAAGAUACCAGACUCUGGAGGCAAACUGUCUAACAAAGACUCUGGCUGGAUCUAUG
rnacentral:lncRNA from 1 species